UCCAAAGUGCAGCGGAGAUGAACAUGGCUUUGCAUAGCUGUUGCUCUACGCCAACUUACCUACUCUUGCUGGUUCCGUAGUGGCAUAUUGCAAAUUUCGUGGACGAACAACUCGAGUCACUAGUGGCUAGUGAGCAACACUAACAGACCAGAAUGCUUCGCCAUCAACUCCUGGCUUUCCAUCGGCAUGGUGUUCAGCUGCAGCGGCAUCUGGUCCGGGGAGUACAAGUUGCUGGAUGGCUGCACUGACACAGGAUGGGUUUGCGUUGGCAAUGCAAUACGGCAGUCAUCCCACAUUAUGAGCUACAAGUUUAUGUAAUUUAUAUUGUCGCUCGUCCAGCAACGUCAAGGCUCUGCAUGUAAACACAGGAGAACACCAUAAUAAUUAUACGACUCAGGGGAUAAUAAUUAUAAAUUUGGAUUAAAUUUGGAUUAUCAAUUUCUUGACAUUUAUGAGUUCCUGUCUAAACCAUGUCGUGAUAUUGAUUGCUACAUGUAUCUGCUCACAAAGUACCUCGUAUUGUAACAAUACUCUG